rnacentral:rRNA from 1 species
GGGGUGCAGCAGGCGCGAAACCUCCGCAAUGUGGGAAAUCGCGACGGGGGGAUCCCAAGUGCCAUUCUUAACGGGAUGGCUUUUCAUUAGUGUAAAGAGCUUUUGGAAUAAGGGCUGGGCAAGACCGGUGCCAGCCGCCGCGGUAACACCGGCAGCUCUAGUGGUAGCAGUUUUUAUUGGGCCUAAAGCGUCCGUAGCCGGUUUAAUAAGUCUCUGGUGAAAUCCUGUAGCUUAACUGUGGGAAUUGCUGGAGAUACUAUUAGACUUGAGACCGGGAGAGGUUAGAGGUACUCCCAGGGUAGAGGUGAAAUUCUGUAAUCCUGGGAGGACCGCCUGUUGCGAAGGCGUCUAACUGGAACGGUUCUGACGGUGAGGGACGAAAGUUAGGGGCGCGAACCGGAUUAGAUACCCGGGUAGUCCUAACCGUAAACGAUGCGGACUUGGUGUUGGGGUGGCUUUGAGCUGCUCCAGUGCCGAAGGGAAGCUGUUAAGUCCGCCGCCUGGGAAGUACGGUCGCAAGACUGAAACUUAA